rnacentral:rRNA from 1 species
UACGUAGGGUGCGAGCGUUGUCCGGAAUUAUUGGGCGUAAAGGGCUCGUAGGCGGUUUGUCACGUCGGGAGUGAAAACUCGGGGCUUAACCCCGAGCCUGCUUCCGAUACGGGCUGACUAGAGGUAUGCAGGGGAGAACGGAAUUCCUGGUGUAGCGGUGAAAUGCGCAGAUAUCAGGAGGAACACCGGUGGCGAAGGCGGUUCUCUGGGCAUUACCUGACGCUGAGGAGCGAAAGUGUGGGGAGCGAACA